rnacentral:rRNA from 1 species
UACGUAGGGUGCAAGCGUUGUCCGGAAUUAUUGGGCGUAAAGAGCUUGUAGGCGGUUUGUCGCGUCUGCUGUGAAAUUUCGGGGCUCAACCCCGAACUUGCAGUGGGUACGGGCAGACUAGAGUGUGGUAGGGGAGACUGGAAUUCCUGGUGUAGCGGUGAAAUGCGUAGAUAUCGGAAGGAACAUCAGUGGCGAAAAGCGGCUUCCUGGACCAGCACCGACGUCAGGCACGAAAGCGUGGGGAGCAAACAGG